AACGCACCUUGCGCCCUUUGGCUAUUCUGAAGGGCAUGCCUGUUUGAGUAUCAUGAACACCUCAACUCUCAUGGUUUUGCAUGACGAGUUUGGACUUUGGAGGUCUUGCUGGCCUAUGGUCGGCUCCUCUCAAACGAAUCAGCUUGCCAGUGUUUGGUGGCGUCACAAGUGUGAUAACUAUCUGCGCUUGUGGUUCUCCACCAGGUGACCUUUAGCAAUGGAGGUUCGCUGGAGCUCAUAGAUGUCUCUCCUCAGUGAGGACAGCUUUUUGAACGUUUGAUCUCAAAUCAGGUAGGACUACCCGCUGAACUUAA
rnacentral:rRNA from 1 species